rnacentral:rRNA from 1 species
UACGUAGGGGGCUAGCGUUAUCCGGAAUUACUGGGCGUAAAGGGUGCGUAGGUGGUUUCUUAAGUCAGAGGUGAAAGGCUACGGCUCAACCGUAGUAAGCCUUUGAAACUGAGAAACUUGAGUGCAGGAGAGGAGAGUAGAAUUCCUAGUGUAGCGGUGAAAUGCGUAGAUAUUAGGAGGAAUACCAGUUGCGAAGGCGGCUCUCUGGACUGUAACUGACACUGAGGCACGAAAGCGUGGGGAGCAAAUAGGAUUAGAUACCCUGGUAGUCCCUGA